UUCACGAAGUGACGGAUAAGAGGAAAAUUUUCACUUUUUUCAAUUUUGAGUUUUUUGCAUUUUUGGACAUCUAUGACUUAUAUCUUGAACCUCAAAAAGUUUCAGAUCACAAUAAUGUCUAAUUACGUUGCUAUGACGACAUGACAUUCAAUAAAAUACCGGGUAAAAGGAUUUCUUGUUUUCACGAAGUGACGGAUAAGCAGCCGUCAAUACGUGAAAACAAACGAAUACGCUUUGCACUCAAGAGUUUUUUCACGAAGUGACGGAAGGCAAAUAUUUACAGUUUGGAACAGCCGAAGACCAUGAAAUGAUGCAGUAUAUACAAUAAGCAAUGUUUGAGAGAACAAAUGAGAGAAGUCCUGGAACUGGUACACUUGCUAUUUAACAAUGCUGAUGGUCAGAUACAAUUCCAGGUUAGAUCCAGGGGCCGACACGCUUGUCAGAUGGGUCAUUGAUGAUUCCCUGAACAUCGCAGAUAUGAUCUGAUUUGGUGACAUGACAGUGGAAUUGGUAGUGACUGGAUUUUUAUAGUGUGCCCUGGUUUUGAAAUAUUGAAGUAACCAAACUAGAAACAUCUUCUGAGAACUCUGACUGCAAUUCUAAUGAUGAAACUCUGUCUACACUUGUGAAAAUGUAAAAGGAGUUGGCUCUACCUCGUGGCCUUUCAGGUUCAGUGCUCUCAUCUAACCUUUUCUUUUUCCAGCUGGGUAACUGAUACCAAUUUUAAUUUUCUUUAGAUUUUGACUUCAACAUAAGUUAAGUUUUAAUUUUGAUAGGACUUUCAAAUCUGGUUUCAUUUUUAGAGCAGUGUAUUAUAUAAAGAAACUAUACUGCUUGAACUAUAAGUCUCUGCUCUUAUAGUGAUAUGAUUAUGAACUCCUUUAAAAAUAUUUUAUAUAUACAGUCAAAUAUAAAGUUCAGAAUAGUCACUUAUCUGCUAUACUUACAUGUUAAAAUUGCUAAUACACAUCGUCCACAUAUGGAUGCAGAAUAAUUACCCUUUUUCAUUCAUUUGUUUCGCAUGUUUUCAUUUUGCUUGGUGCUAUCUAAAAAACAGAAAUACUGCAUAUUUCUACAUUUAAAAUAAAACUGAAUGUUAUUAGCUCUAUUGUGCUUAAAUGUAUUGUGUUAAUACUUCAUAUUCUUUAAUAAUAACAAUCAUACAAUUUAGACUGACAUGCAUUGUGAAACUCGAUAGCUGCAUGAUAUAUUACUAGUAAGGAUGUAGGGGUGAAAAUCAUAUUAGGUUUUUGUGAAUUCAUUUUCAAAAGCCAAAUGUGUUAAUACAGACACCCCCCCCCCCCCCCCCUCUUCCAUGAGGUAAUGUUUUAUUGGUUUAUCAGGGGGUGAGAAUUCUUAAGCUGAUUUUAGUUAUUUUUUGCUUUUUAUUUUAAGCUUGAUAUCCCCCAUUCCUGUACAAUAGUUUGAGAGCUCAUUCAAUUUAAUCCCCCAACUCUUUACAGAAUUUUCAUGUCUUUAUUUGUCAUCGCUCACACACCUGGUUCAUGCAGUCGAUGUGUCGUAAUUUUAUUCCAGAAAAUCCAACUGUUAGAUUUUGUUAAUGAGUGUUAUUCAGGAAAGAAGUAAUACAUGAUUAUUUUUAGCUUGAGGUUAAAGAUACACUGCAGCACAUGUUUUUCUGUCUAUUUGUAGUAAGAAUUUUACUCUUUUUUUUUAAUCCCACAAGAUCAAAGAUGUUAUUUUCUAAAACCAUGAAGACGAUUUUUUGUAAAGUUUUCAGAUUUGGAAGAAACUAAGGUGUAUUUUAAUAUAUGUUCCUGUUUUGGACUCUGACAAUAAUUUGCAAUUAAAAAAACAAGUGUUUGAUUGGAAAAUGUAUUGAUGAAUGUUAUUUAGCCAAUGACUUGAGAAUGAUGGAAAAAAUACAAAUCUACUUAGUCAUUCGUAUUUUUUAUCAUUGCCUUUUUUUUUGCUUUUGUCGCUGUCGUUUGGAAUUUUGAUUAUAAAUUUGUUUAAAAAAUUAUCCUGUUUGAUUUGACGUUAAAUUAUUGAUUUAAAAUUAUAUUUCUUUCUUUGACCAUCAUAGUUUAUAAUUGUUUAUUCAAAGGUUUGCAUGGUUCCUUCGGUAAAGAUAAGCUUUUUGUACUAUUGGACUUUUUAGUCCUUGACAGUGUGUAAAAACAUGAAACAACUCUCAAGGCAAUUGAUUUAAUUAUGACAUUCUUUUCAUUAAAAAAUUCCAAAGAGUAGUGAAUGUAAUAAGUAAUGUUGACUAUGUUACUUCUAUUUUGAUGGAAAAGAAAUAGGCAAUUAUACUUGUAUAUGAUUGUGUAUGUUAAUACAAAUAUACAUUAGAGAAUAUAACUUUCCUGCACCACUAGCAAUGAUUAUUUUCCAGUAUUCUUGUAAUUGAAAGUUUAUUAAUUUGUCAUUGGAAUGUUUUGAAUGUAGAAUUGGGUACUUGAUAGCAAUUCUGUAUUUCUAAAUGUGGCAUUCCCAGACUAGGAUUAUACUGAUUGUGUUUAGCAAGGUUUGAUAUACAAAUAAAUAUAUUGUUGCAUAACGGUAUAUUCAAGUUUUAUGAAAUGUAUAAAAUGACAAAAUUCUGACAAUGUGUACCUGAUGGUUCAUUUCCUAUACCUUUCACAGUGCAAUAUUAAAUUGAUUUUAAUAAUUAUGAAUGUCGAUGUGUUUGUCACUAGCGAUUAUGGUCCUAUAUAUUAUUGAAUUUAAAAAUUUGUCAAAAUAUUUUUCCAUUGUUAACAUUGUAUGGAGAUGAUACUUUAAUGAAUUUAUUAAGCAUACCUUUAUCGAAAUGAUUGAUAUGAAAAAAAUGUUAUAUUUUAAUUUUCUAUUUGUCACUUGCUGCUAUGAUUUUAUAUGUUAUAGAAUUAAAAGUGUUCUUCUAAAUUUAUUCACAUUGCUAAAUUUGAAGAAUUUAUUUUAUAUCGUUAGUAUUUUCAAUGAUUUAUGACAUAACUCUCAUUUUGCAUGAAAAGAUAUUUUAAUAGGAUUUUCAGGAGAGAAUACAUGACCAUUGUGAUAAAGGAAAAAUGGAGUAGA